rnacentral:lncRNA from 1 species
CAUGUUCACAAUUUCUUAUCUAUUGAAUUUAGUCACGGUUUUGAUAAUAAUAUACUUUGCCUUUUAAAUGCUGAACAGUUAACAUAAUUUGUUUGGUGGGAAACGGGGCAGAAAUUAAAUGAUAACUUAAUGACAUGAAAUAAUCAUCUUUGAUAUUACAUGAAAGUAGUCAUCAUACAAACAUAAAAAUAAGGAGAUAUAUGAUUACUAAUGAGACGAUUUUCCACCUAAAAUCAAAUAAAUGGAUGUAAAUAAUUUUAGACAACUGUAUGGUCUUGAACAAUGAGAAAAACCCAUACUGUUUGGUUGGCUAUUAAAGAUCUGACAUGACAAAUAUGAAACAAUUCAAUUGAGAAAACUAACAGCCUAAUUUAAAACAAAACAAAUAUGACGGACAUGAACCAAUGACUAGCAAUGAACUACAGGCUCCUGACUUGGGACAAGCACUUAUUGAAUAAGGUGGGAUUAAAUAUGUUUGUGAAUACUUGUCUCUCCC